GACGAACGCUGGCGGCGUGCCUAAUACAUGCAAGUAGAACGCUGAAGGAGGAGCUUGCUUCUCUGGAUGAGUGGCGAACGGGGGAGUAACGCGUAGGUAACCUGCCUGGUAGCGGGGGAUAACUAGUGGAAACGAUAGCUAAUACCGCAUAAGAGUAGAUGUUGCAUGACAUUUGCUUAAAAGGUGCAAGUGCCUCACUACCAGAGGGACCUGCGUUGUAUUAGCUAGUUGGAGGGGUAACGGCGUACCAAGGCGACGAUACAUAGCCGACCGGAGAGCGUGCUCGGCCUAGCUGGGACUGGGACACGGCCCAGCCUCCUGCGGGUGGCAGCCGUAGCGGAUCUCCGGCGAUGGCCGCAAUUCUGACCGAGCCACGCCGCGUGAGUGCAGAAGGUUUUCGCGUCGCGAAGCUCUGUUGUGCGUGCAGAACGAGUGUGAGAGUGGAAAGUUCACACUGUGACGGUAUCUUACCAGAAAGGGACGGCUAACUACGUG
rnacentral:rRNA from 1 species